rnacentral:rRNA from 1 species
UACAGAGGGUGCGAGCGUUAAUCGGAAUUACUGGGCGUAAAGCGCACGUAGUCGGCUUUGCAAGUCGGGUGUGAAAUCCCCGGGCUCAACCUGGGAACUGCAUCCGAGACUGCAUUGCUAGAGUAUGGGAGAGGGAAGCGGAAUUUCUGGUGUAGCAGUGAAAUGCGCAGAUAUCAGGAGGAACACCGGUGGCGAAGGCGGGUCUCUGGGCCGUAACUGACGCUGAGGAGCGAAAGCGUGGGGAGCGAACAGG